rnacentral:rRNA from 1 species
AACUGAGGAUAAUACCGGAUAGGCAAUUAUUCCUGGAAUGGUUUUUUGUUUAAAUGUUUUUUCGCCUAAGGAUGGGUCUGCGGCCGAUUAGGUAGUUGGUUAGGUAACGGCUUACCAAGCCAUUGAUCGGUACGGGUUGUGAGAGCAAGAGCCCGGAGAUGGAACCUGAGACAAGGUUCCAGGCCCUACGGGGUGCAGCAGGCGCGAAACCUCCGCAAUGUGAGAAAUCGCG